rnacentral:rRNA from 1 species
ACUGCUCAGCUAACACGUGGAUAACCUACCCAAUAGUCUGGGAUAACCCCGGGAAACUGGGGAUAAUACCGGAUAGAUCAUCUUUGCUGGAAGGCUUGGUGGUUGAAACUCUUCGGGGGCUGUUGGAUGGGUCUGCGGCUGAUUAGGUUGUUGCCGGUGUAAUGUACCGUCAAGCCUGUAAUCAGUACGGGUUGUGGGAGCAAGAGCCCGGAGAUGGAUUCUGAGACACGAAUCCAGGCCCUACGGGGCGCAGCAGGCGCGAAAACUCUACAAUGCAGGCAACUGCGAUAGGGGAACAUCGAGUGAUCCUCAUAUUGGGGGUCUGUCCACCCGCCUAAAAAGCGGGUGUUAGCAAGGGCCGGGCAAGACCGGUGCCAGCCGCCGCGGUAAUACCGGCGGCUCGAGUGGUGGCCGAUAUUAUUGAGUCUAAAGGGUCCGUAGCCGGCUUUGCAAGUCUCUCGGGAAAUCCAGCGGCUUAACCGUUGGUCGUCCGGGGGGUACUACAUUGCUUGGGACUGGGAGAGGCGAGAGGUACUCAGGGGGUAGGAGUGAAAUCCUGUAAUCCUCUGGGGACCACCGGUGGUGAAGGCGUCUCGCCAGAACAGGUCCGACGGUGAGGGACGAAAGCUAGGGGCACGAACCGGAUUAGAUACCCGGGUAGUCCUAGCCGUAAACGAUGCUCGCUAGGUGUCACAACAGUCGUGAACUGUUGUGGUGCCGUAGGGAAGCCGUGAACGCGAGCCAUCUUGGGAAGUACGACCGCAAGGUUGAAACUUAAAGGAAUUGGCGGGGGAGCACA